UACAGGGGGGGCAAGCGUUGUUCGGAAUUACUGGGCGUAAAGGGCUCGUAGGUGGCCAACUUAGUCAGACGUGAAAUCCCUCAGCUUAACUGGGGAACUGCGUCUGAUACUGGAUGGCUUGAGUGCAGGAGAGGAACGCGGAAUUCCAGGUGUAGCGGUGAAAUGCGUAGAUAUCUGGAGGAACACCAGAGGCGAAGGCGGCUACCUGGACAAUUGCUGACGCUCAGGCACGAAAGCGUGGGGAGCAAAAGGG
rnacentral:rRNA from 1 species